rnacentral:rRNA from 1 species
UACGUAGGGGGGCAAGCGUUGUCCGGAUUCAUUGGGCGUAAAGAGCGUGUAGGCGGCCAGGUAGGUCGGUUGUGAAAACUGGAGGCUCAACCUUCAGACGUCGACCGAAACCAUCUGGCUAGAGUCCGGGAGAGGAGAGUGGAAUUCCCGGUGUAGCGGUGAAAUGCGCAGAUAUCGGGAAGAACACCCGUGGCGAAGGCGGCUCUCUGGGACGGUACUGACGCUGAGACGCGAAAGCGUGGGGAGCGAACAGG